GGGAGAUGGAAAACGUGCUUCGGUGUACUGGACUAGGAAAAUUAAUUUGGAAAAUUUGAUUUUUUUUUUUUUAGGGCUUAAUGACACCGCGUCAUAGCUGGCGGCAACGUGACGACACAGAGACAGCUGUUUUCCUCAAAUCGGAGGGAGGAGCAAGUUGAGCAGAGGAAAAACAAGCGAAAAGAGAAAGAAAAGGAGAAAAAAUGGUGGGAGAAGAAGUAGUACCAAUGGACGACAAAGCGAAGAGGAUGCGAGAUCUGCUAUCGAGUUUCUACUCCCCUGACCCUUCCAUCUCCAACAACACCUCCAAACACGCUUCUCUCGACGACAUCAAUUCUACUUCCUUCGAUCCCGAUCAGUACAUGAACAUCCUGGCACACAAGUCCAAUUUGGAAGGCCUGCUCCAACGCCACGUUGAAAUGGCAGCUGAAAUCAAGAAUCUCGACACCGACUUGCAAAUGCUGGUUUACGAGAAUUACAACAAGUUCAUCAGUGCCACAGACACUAUAAAGAGGAUGAAAAGUAACAUUUCCGGGAUGGAGACGAAUAUGGAGCAGCUUCUUGAGAAGAUAAUGUCUGUGCAGUCGAGAAGUGACAGUGUCAACACUUCUCUAUUUGACAAAAGGGAGCAUAUUGAGAAACUACAUCGGACUUGUAAUCUUCUUCGUAAAGUUCAGUUCAUAUAUGACCUACCCGAUAGACUAAGCAAGUGCAUCAAGUCGGAGGCCUAUGCAGAUGCAGUCAGGUUUUACAUUGGAGCAAUGCCAAUUUUUAAGGCAUAUGGAGAUUCUUCAUUCCGGGAUUGUAAACAAGCUUCUGAAGAAGCAAUAGCUGUUGUAGUAAAAAACUUGCAGGGGAAGCUAUUUUCAGAUUCUGAAUCAAUACAAGUGAGAGCUGAUGCAGCAGUGCUUCUUAAGCAGUUGGAUUUUCCGGUGAACAAUUUGAAGGCAAAGUUAUUUGAAAAGUUAGAACAAUCUAUUACAGACAUUCGACUGAACCCUGAAGAAAUAAAUAAUCCUUCAGGGGACCGUUCUACUCAUGAGGCAGCUAUACAUGAAUUUGUGGAGGCAGUUUGUGCAUUUCGUGUAAUAUUUCCUGAUUCUGAAGAACAAUUGGUUAAAGUUGCUGAAGAUUUGGUUACCAAGAACUUUGUAAUUGCUGAGGAAUAUGUAAAGACACGGAUUUCCCCAGAAGAUCUACUUGGUGUUCUUCGAGUUAUCUGGAAUGACGUGCUCCUGAUAGAUGAAGUCUUACAGGAAGCAGCUCUCUCUAAUCAUUCUCUUGAGGCUGCAAAGGUUGUUGUCACGUCGUUUGUUAGAAGUGCAUUUUUUCAUCUUCUACAAGACAUCUCAGAUUCCCUCUUACAAAUCCUGAAAAAGGAAGGAGCAGAACAGUGCACUCUUGAUGUUGUUCUUGAUGCAAGUACAAAAGCAGUUCUUCAAGGAGGACUGAAUGUGUUGCUGGACUUUCGCAAAAUUUUAGAUGAUGACUCUGGGAUCCUAGUUAGAUUAAGAGAGUUAAUCAUUGAUUGGGUUCAAGAAGGACUUCAAGAAUUUUUUAGGCAACUUGAGGAUCAGUUCCUUCUGUUUUCAGGAAGAAAUCAUUCAUCUAUUCAAGUACACGGUUUGGCAGAGGGAACUCAAGGUGAUAAAGCUUUUGCUGGCCUUGUCCUAGUGCUGGCACAAUUGUCUGCUUUCAUUGAACAAACCGUCAUCCCAAAAGUCACUGAGGAAAUAGCUGCUUCCUUUUCUGGUGGUAGUGUUAGAGGCUAUGAAUCUGGACCUGCCUUUGUUCCUGGAGAAAUAUGUCGAAAAUUUCGGUCAGCUGGUGAAAAAUUCUUGCACCUGUACAUAAAUAUGAGAAAUCAGAGGGUAUCACUUCUCCUGAAGAAGAGGUUUACAACCCCUAAUUGGGUUAAGCAUAAGGAACCAAGAGAAGUUCAUAUGUUUGUUGAUCUAUUUCUUCAAGAGCUUGAAAUUAUAGUUAACGAAGUGAAGCAGAUUUUGCCUCAAGGUAGACGUAAGCACCACAGGACUGAUAGUAAUGGAAGUAGUGCUUCAUCAAGGAGCAAUCCCUUGCGGGAGGAGAAACUGGGCAGGUCAAAUACUCAAAGGGCAAGGAGCCAGCUUUUGGAAACGCAUCUUGCAAAAUUGUUUAAGCAGAAAGUUGAAAUUUUCACAAAAGUAGAAUAUACACAGAAUCGCAGGAGUCUGUUGUUACAACUAUAGUUAAAUUGGGCCUUAAAAGUUUUCAAGAAUUUGUCCGACUCCAGACUUUUAACCGAAGUGGAUUCCAGCAAAUUCAAUUGGAUAUCCAGUUCGUAAGGAUCCCUUUAAGAGAAAUAGUUGAAGAUGAAGCUGCAAUCGACUUCUUGCUAGAUGAGGUGAUUGUUGCUACUGCUGAACGGUGUCUAGAUCCGAUUCCAUUGGAGCCUCCCAUAUUGGACAAACUUAUACGAGCAAAGUUGGCUAAAACCGAGGAGCAAAAUACAAUUUCUUCAUAAAUAUUCCUUCAUAAACUUAUACGAGCAAAAUUGUGUUUGCUGUGUUUGCCAUCUCGUACAAUUUGUUAGGGUUUUGGCCGUUGAAAAGUAACUUGGUUCCUUUUGUAAAUCUCUUGUAAGUUGUAACAUAUGUCAUAUUAACAUGUUGUUAUUUGUGGAAACAUUGAGACAUGAGAAAAUUAUAUCCAUGACGGGAGGCUAGAGUGGGAGACCUUAUUGGGUCUCUCACCAUGGGAAAGAAUUUUUAGCCCUUAGAUUUUAAAUGAAAUGUUGAGAUUUUUCUUUA